rnacentral:rRNA from 1 species
UACGGAGGGUGCAAGCGUUGUCCGGAAUCACUGGGCGUAAAGGGCGCGUAGGCGGCCUGGCAAGUAGGGGGUGAAAUCCUGCGGCUUAACCGCAGGGCUGCCUUCUAAACUGUCAGGCUUGAGCACGGUAGAGGCAGAUGGAAUUCCCGGUGUAGCGGUGGAAUGCGUAGAGAUCGGGAAGAACAUCAGUGGCGAAGGCGGUCUGCUGGGCCGUUGCUGACGCUGAGGCGCGACAGCGUGGGGAGCAAACAGG